CAGCCAUAGUCAAAAGAUUUAGCAGAGGCCAGGCACCAUGAAAUCCGAGCACUUUGGGAGGCCAAGGCAAGUGGAUCACCUGUGGUCAUGAGUUCGAGACUAGCCUGAUCAACAUGGAGAAACCUUGUCUCUACUAAAAAAAAUAAAUAAAAAAAAAAAAAAGCCAGGUAUGGUGGCGAAUGCCUGUAAUCCCAGCUACUCAGGGGGCUGAGGCAGGAGAAUUGCUUGAACCUGGGAGGAGGAGGUUGCAGUAAGCCGAGAGUGUGUCAUUGCACUCCAGCCUGGGCAACAAGAGUGAACCUCCGUCUCAAAAAAAAAAAAAGACAGGUGACAUUGACUAUUGCUAAGACAGCUGGAACUUCCAAAAUGACCUCACUCAUGUGGCUAGCAAGUGUGCUCAUGGUUGGCUGGAAGCAGAGCUGGGACUAUGACCAGGAGUUCUGGUUCUCCUCCCUAUGACCUCUCCACGUGGAUUACUGGGCUCCUCUCAGUGUGAAAGCUGAUUUCCAACAAAGAGCAUUCCAAAAUUAAGAGUUCCCAGUGUUCAUAAGUGGUUGUAUAGUCUUCUCUUGCAUCACACUUGCUAAGCACCCACUGGGCAAAUCUAAUCACAUGGCCAAGACCUGAGUCAGUGGGGAUGGGGAUACACACGGCAAAAUACCAGGAGGCAUGCUUCAUUAAGGAUCAAUAAAAUAGCAAGUAAAUACA
rnacentral:lncRNA from 13 species